GAAAGUCCCCUCCUUCCUUCCCUUCCUGGUAAUUAUGCAGAGACAUACAUGAAUACUUAUUAUUGUUUGGGGCUUAAAGACAUACUUUGCCUUUUCUGCAUUUCUACUGAAAUAGUAAUUCUUUCAGGGUGAAGCUUCACAUAUGAAGUCUCAAUUCCAGCUGCCACAUCAUUGUGUAUAAAGGCAUCACUCCCUGUGUCCCUGUGGGAAUUUCUUUCCAAUCCCCAAAUUGCUGAGACAAGCACCCUUUCACACUCCAAGGAACUAUGAAUUCUCACUCCAUUUUUUGACACAUGGAGACUUCUCUUUCUUUUUGCAAGAUAUGCACAUUUAAGACAGUCCGUCUAUUGGAGGGAAAAAAAUUACCGAAACAUGAAAACCAUGAACCAAAACACGCACAUACCUGCAAAUGGAAUUGAUGAAGACACUGGAACAAUGCUCCAUCCCAAUUCAGAGGAACCAUCUAUUGGUUACAUAGCUCUAGACGUAUAUAGAAUUAAAAAAUAAAAUACUGGCACCGAUAUUCUUUGUAGCAUGUGAGAAGUCUAUAUAAUUUUUGGAGUGUUGUGUUUCCAUUUCAAUGAAAUUAAAAAAUAAUUCCCUUCAUUCUUACCUUAGACCACAUUACAAUAAAUACUUCCAAGAGAGUUUAGUGUUCA
rnacentral:lncRNA from 1 species